ensembl:rRNA 5S_rRNA 5S ribosomal RNA
GAUGAUAGGUAUAAUAAGCAAAUUACAUAACUGGUCUCAGAAGCUAACAGGCCUGGCCAGUACUUUGAUGGGAGACUGCCUGGGAAUACCAGGUGCUGUAGGCU